GUGGGACUGUUUGUGAUGGGCGAGGUCCAGCUCCGAGCAGCGCCGCUCUCCACUACAGCAGUAAGUGUCUGAUGAUCCCAUGGGUGAUUCGGUGCCUUCACAGUGCCCUGGAAAGUGCCUGCUCUGCACCUCGGGCAGUUUGGUGGAGUUAGGCUGACUUCAGACAGGAUGAUCUUCUACGACUUUUCUGCGACUUCAAAAGAGAGAUGUGACUGCUUUCCUCAACUGACGGUAAGAGGAAUGAGGACCUGACAGCUCAGAGGGGAGGUGAUCUGAAUUUCUCGUCAAUCUCCUGAUCUUACACUCCUUGAGAGGUGAGGUACUGAAAUGACCAC